rnacentral:rRNA from 1 species
UACGUAGGGGGCAAGCGUUGUCCGGAAUCAUUGGGCGUAAAGCGCGUGUAGGCGGUUCGGUAAGUCGGCUGUGAAAGUCCAGGGCUCAACCCUGGGAUGCCGGUCGAUACUGCCGGACUAGAGUUCGGAAGAGGCGAGUGGAAUUCCACGUGUAGCGGUGAAAUGCGUAGAGAUGUGGAGGAACACCGGUGGCGAAGGCGGUUCUCUGGGCCUGUACUGACGCUGAGGAGCGAAAGCGUGGGGAGUGAACAGG